rnacentral:rRNA from 1 species
UGGGGAAUCUUGCGCAAUGGGCGAAAGCCUGACGCAGCCAUGCCGCGUGAAUGAUGAAGGUCUUAGGAUUGUAAAAUUCUUUCACCGGGGACGAUAAUGACGGUACCCGGAGAAGAAGCCCCGGCUAACUUCGUGCCAGCAGCCGCGGUAAUACGAAGGGGGCUAGCGUUGCUCGGAAUUACUGGGCGUAAAGGGAGCGUAGGCGGACAUUUAAGUCAGGGUGAAAUCCCGGGGCUCAACCUCGGAAUUGCCUUUGAUACUGGGUGUCUUGAGUAUGAGAGAGGUGUGUGGAACUCCGAGUGUAGAGGUGAAAUUCGUAGAUAUUCGGAAGAACACCAGUGGCGAAGGCGACACACUGGCUCAUUACUGACGCUGAGGCUCGAAAGCGUGGGGAGCAAACAGGAUUAGAUACCC